GCCUGCGCGGACGUCGAUGGGUUUGUGGGCGCAGGGCGCGAGGCGCGAGGCGGUAGCUGGGCUAGUCCUGUUCCCUGGCGUCUGGGCCUUUCUGCUCUCCGCAAGGAGCUGGGUCGCGACCUGUCACUGCCAGCCGUGCGCUCGCCCUCUGCGCCCCGUCUCGUGGUCACUGCCGCCCUCCCUCCCGCCACACCUGUGAUGAUCGCUAUGGAGCCGCGCCUCAGGUGGCAUUACUAUAAACCUAAGAGGAGAGGCGCCCGUUCGAAUAAGGGCAAAUUAUUUAGUAUUUUGUCUUCAAUGUUCCUGGCAGCUUAAAGUACCAACUGGGACACUUGUCACUAGUUUGAGAAGUGCAGCCAUAGCCUUCGAAGCCCAACCCCAGGUGCUAGCUUUGAAACCCAACUUUGCCACAGACCAGCAUGUUGAUGGAGAGGCUCUCACCCACAAGCAUGGAGUGGGAGGGUGAUUUCCUGGGAGAAAGAAAGCCACUUUCUUUUUGGAAGCCAACGAAUGCCAAGUAGAUGCCACCAAAGCCAGUGAUGGCUUGUGAAAGCCCAGUGUCCUGGGACAGGAAAGACAAGGGGAUCCCAGCCAAGUCUGACUGCAAUGAGGCCAAACGUUGCCCCAGAGCAAGACUUCAUCUCCCUUUUCCUGACAAACCAUUGAUGGCUGCGUUUCACAUUAACCUAGAUUAAAAGUCUCCUUGAAAUGUAUAAUUGUAAUUAAUUAUUGGUUCAUUUGUUUGUCUCACCCCCACCCCCAGAAUGUUACUUAAUGGUAUGGAGGGAUUACCUUUAUCUUUGUAUCAUCAGAGAUCAAUAAAUGCA
rnacentral:lncRNA from 1 species